rnacentral:rRNA from 1 species
AACGAACGCUGGCGGCGUGCUUAACACAUGCAAGUCGAACGAGAACGGGCUAUAGCUUGCUAUAGUUGUCAGCUAAGUGGCGCACGGGUGAGUAAUGUAUAGGUAAUAUGCCUCUUACUAAGGGAUAACAAAUGGAAACGUUUGCUAAUACCUUAUACUCCUUAUUAACAGAAGUUAAUAAGGGAAAGAUUUAUUGGUAAGAGAUUAGCCUGUAUUGUAUCAGUUAGUUGGUGGGGUAAUGGCUUACCAAGACUAUGACACAUAACUGGUUUGAGAGGAUGAUCAGUCACACUGGAACUGAGACACGGUCCAGACUCCUACGGGAGGCAGCAGUGGGGAAUAUUGCACAAUGGACGAAAGUCUGAUGCAGCAACGCCGCGUGGAGGAUGACACAUUUCGGUGCGUAAACUCCUUUUAUAUGAGAAGAUAAUGACGGUAUUAUAUGAAUAAGCACCGGCUAACUCCGUGCCAGCAGCUGCCGUAA